rnacentral:rRNA from 1 species
GACGAACGCUGGCGGCGUGCUUAACACAUGCAAGUCGAACGGAAAGGCCCUGCUUGCUGGGUCCUCGAGUGGCGAACGGGUGAGUAACACGUGGGUGAUCUGCCCUGCACUUCGGGAUAAGCCUGGGAAACUGGGUCUAAUACCGGAUAGGAGCCAUUUUUAGUGUGAUGGUUGGAAAGUUUUUUCGGUGUAGGAUGAGCUCGCGGCCUAUCAGCUUGUUGGUGGGGUAAUGGCCUACCAAGGCGGCGACGGGUAGCCGGCCUGAGAGGGUGGACGGCCACAGUGGGACUGAGAUACGGCCCAGACUCCUACGGGAGGCAUCAGUGGGGAAUAUUGCACAAUGGGCGCAAGCCUGAUGCAGCGACGCCGCGUGGGGGAGGACGGCCUUCGGGUUGUAAACGCCUUUCGCUAGGGACGAAGCUUUUUGUGACGGUACCUAGAUAAGAAGCACCGGCUAACUACGUG